rnacentral:lncRNA from 1 species
ACUUACAGGAAAAGUUCUAAUGUGCCACGUGGCGCACUUAUCAUAAUAUAUAUUUUUUAAAUUUAUCAUAAUAUAUUUUUUAAUUCACAAAUAUUAUAUAUAUAUAUAUAUAUAUAUAUAUAGAGAGAGAGAGAGAGAGAGAGAGAGAGAGAGUUGAGCUAGAAUACUCUCGGUAGUAAACUAGCCGUUUUACUAUCGAGUUGUUUUCGAUAAUAGAGCUUCCAAAUUGACGAUCGGCUUCGUUAAAUAUGAUCUAAACCAUUUAAACUAUCUAGAAAUCAAAUUUCACGCACUUUCGGUAUUAUUUUUUUUCCAUCUAGUGAACAGAAAAAUAAAUGGCUGAAAAUGAAUAUUCUUUAAAAAAUGACGAUAGCAGUUUUGUAAUCAAGAUCAAGAGUAUAGAUCUUGUUUUUAAUAGUUUAAAGAAUUUUCUAACAAAAAUUCAAUUGAUUUGGAUAUCUUUACACCGUUAAACAAGAAAACGUCUCUUAUCCACCAUUAAAAUUACAAAUUUUGAAACCCUUUGAUCAUUAGGCAAAUGAUGUCGAAAAGAUUUGAAAUUUGAUUUCUAAAUACUUCAAGUGGUAUAGAUCAUGUUCAACGGAACCGAUCGUCAAUUUGGAAGCUCUAUCAUCGAAAACAACUCGAUAGUAAAACGG